rnacentral:sRNA from 1 species
UUUUCGCGGCCGGGCCCCAGCAUGGCUGCCCCCACGGCUGAGGGCCUGGCAGCUGCUGCGCCCUCGCUUUCUUGACAUUCCCUGGCUUCUGUGCUCUCUUCCCCAGGCCACCCCAGCAGACAUGUUUGCCAAGGCCUUUCGGGUCAAGUCCAACACGGCCAUCAAGGGGUCGGACAGGAGAAAGCUUCGAGCUGAUGUGACAACUACUUUCCCCACCCUUGGAACUGAUCAAGUCUCUGAGUUAGUACCUGGAAAGGAGGAGCUCAACAUUGUGAAGUUGUAUGCUCACAAAGGGGAUGCAGUGACUGUGUACGUGAGUGGUGGUAACCCCAUCCUCUUUGAACUGGAGAAAAAUCUGUAUCCAACAGUGUACACGCUGUGGUCCUAUCCUGAUCUUCUGCCAACCUUUACAACAUGGCCUCUGGUGCUCGAGAAACUGGUAGGGGGAGCAGAUUUGAUGCUGCCUGGACUGGUGAUGCCCCCUGCUGGUCUGCCUCAGAGCCCCUGUAGCCAUUGGAGUUGCAGCCAUGUCCACAGCUGAGAUGCUCACGUCAGGCCUGAAGGGAAGGGGCUUCUCUGUGCUCCACACUUACCAGGACCACUUGUGGUGGGUACAGAGUUUCUUCUGUUUUACAGAGAACUGGGGCAGCUGGGGAGAGGAUGGGGCCUGUGAUUCAGGAGUGAGAGUUUUGGUCCUAGCCAUGUCUUUAAGCAAGUUGCUAAGCCCAGACUUUUAUUUCCUUACAAAUAUGAAGAAAAUAUUUUUUUCCCCUGUUUGGACAAGUAAUGAGAGAGAACUUUAUUUUCUAAGUGAAUUAUAGAAUCUUAGACCCAAAGGAAGACCUUAGGGAUCGUCUGCUCUGCCUCUCAGUACAGUGAUACUCGUUUUUUUAUAGCCCUGGUCAAUCUGGCCCUAGCUGCGAUGCACAUUUUAGACAUCAUGUGACCCCAUGAUGAGUGCUUCUGAAUCCAAAUCACCGCAGGGUAGACCUUUAGACUCCAGGAUUAUAACCUGAUUACUUUUAUGUUAUUCAGAUUUCACAUUCCAGACUCCUCCUCCUCAUGAAAGUAACGCAUUCUGACUGUAAAGGUUGCAUUCUUGAGACGCGUACCUGUUCAUUUUCUGGUUAUUUUCUUGUCAUUUUAGCAAAACAGUAAGCAGUGAUUUUCUCAAAACACACAUUUAGCCAAGUAUUGUGGCCUGUUGGUAUAGAUUCAUUCUUAUAUUUUCCAGCCCAGUCUUGGAAUUAUUAAUUUUUUUUUUUUUUUUUU